rnacentral:rRNA from 1 species
CCUUUAUACACACCACCCGUCACUCCUACCGAUUGAAUGGCUCAGUGAGGCCUUGGGAUUGGCCAGGGGAGGUGGGCGACCACCACCCCAGGCCGAAAACUUGGUCAAACUUGGUCAUUUAGAGG